rnacentral:rRNA from 1 species
AGCAGCCGCGGUAAUUCCAGCUCCAAUAGCGUAUAUUAAAGUUGUUGCAGUUAAAAAGCUCGUAGUUGAAUUUCGGGAUCAGUUUGUUGGUCGUGCUUCGGUACGUACUGUCAUUACUGGUUUCUACCUUCUGAAGAACCUUGAUGUCAUUAAUUUGGUGUCUUGGGGAAUCAGGACUGUUACUUUGAAAAAAUUAGAGUGUUUAAAGCAAGCAUACGCUUGAAUACAUUAGCAUGGAAUAAUGAAAUAGGACGUUUGAUUCUAUUUUGUUGGUUUCUAGGAUCGACGUAAUGAUUAAUAGGGAUAGUUGGGGGCAUUAGUAUUCAAUUGUCAGAGGUGAAAUUCUUGGAUUUAUUGAAGACUAACUACUGCGAAAGCAUUUGCCAAGGAUGUUUUCAUUAAUCAAGAACGAAAGUUAGGGGAUCGAAGACGAUCAGAUACCGUCGUAGUCUUAACCAUAAACUAUGCCGACUAGGGAUCGGAUGAUGUUAUUUUUAAUGACUCAUUCGGCGCCUUACGG